rnacentral:lncRNA from 1 species
AAUAGAAUAAAAUAAAAUAGAGUCUUCCAAAAUAAAAUCUCUUCUAUUUGCUUUUAAGUCCUUGUGCCUUCCAUGUUCGCACUUUUGGCACCAUAUUUGUCCCACGUUGCAUAUUGGCCCAUUUAAUCUCCAAAUUGACACUUUUUCCCUUGAAUUUACUUUUCGCCUCCAAUUUAGUCCCUAAAAGAUAAAAAGACAUAAAUAGCUCAAAUUAGUAGGCUCAAGCUCAAAAUAAACACAUGAUUAAUAUAUAAAAACACGUCAUUUUAGAGUAUUAUCAAAUUCCCCCUACUUAGCCCAUGCUUGCCCUCAAGUAUGGUUUCUAUCGACUGUGAAAGCUAGAUUCUGC